rnacentral:rRNA from 1 species
CCUACGGGCGGCCGCAGUGGGGAAUAUUGCACAAUGGGCGCAAGCCUGAUGCAGCCAUGCCGCGUGUGUGAAGAAGGCCUUCGGGUUGUAAAGCACUUUCAGCGGGGAGGAAGGCGUUAAGGUUAAUAACCUUGGCGAUUGACGUUACCCGCAGAAGAAGCACCGGCUAACUCCGUGCCAGCAGCCGCGGUAAUACGGAGGGUGCAAGCGUUAAUCGGAAUUACUGGGCGUAAAGCGCACGCAGGCGGUCUGUCAAGUCGGAUGUGAAAUCCCCGGGCUCAACCUGGGAACUGAUUUGGAAACUGGCAGGCUAGAGUCUUGUAGAGGGGGGGAGAAUUCCAGGUGUAGCGGUGAAAUGCGUAGAGAUCUGGAGGAAUACCGGUGGCGAAGGCGGCCCCCUGGACAAAGACUGACGCUCAGGUGCGAAAGCGUGGGGAGCAAACGGGAUAGAUACCCUGGUAGUC